CCAGCAAAGAAAGGUUUCGAGCUAUGAGUUCUCCACAAAGGUUUUGAGGGACUUUAGCAGUGUGGUCUUCAGGAAGAAUGUGGCAAAACUUGCUAAUAUAGUGUCUGAAGCUGCAAAAGCUAACCAGUCAAUGGACAUACAGGUUGGUCUUUCAUCCAAUGUCACAGAGUAAACAUCAUGAAUUGAUUUUCAAAGCACGUGACCUCCUAAGCAGGACGGGUACAAGAUAAUUUUAAUUGUGGGAAAAUAAUAUAAGUAUAUAACUAAAUUAAUUAAGAUCUAAAAAAACUAAAAGUUAUAAGUGUUUAAUAUAAAGUUAAGAAAUUUACAUAUAUUAUAAAAAGUUACUCUUAAAAAUUCUAUACUUUUUUUUUAUAAUUCACAAUUAUUCCAUACGAGACUUCACAAUUAUUCCAUGUCAUACUUCAUAGGUUAAAAACAUUGUACAAUUUUCUUAUUAUCAAUAUUUUUAAAUAUCUUUUUUCAAUAUAAAUAACCAUAUAAUUAUUUAACAAACAUCCCCAUAAAUAACUAUAAACUAUUUAUUUCAACCAACAAAAACAACCAUAAAUUAUUUAUUUUAUCAAUUUCUUAUAUUUAUUUUUUCAAGUUACAUUGAAAAUUCAACUACAACUAAACAAUAUAAUUAAAUGCAUUUCAAUUCUUGUCAACACAACAACACAUAUUAAAUACAUAUAACUAACAAACAAUUACUUUGGUUCCAAAAGUUCUUAUCCCGACCAUACUUUCACUAUUAACACCUAAUUUUUCUUUUUUAAUUAUGUUUUAUUUAAAAUCAUUUACAUCCUAUUAUCCCAAGAACAACACAUUUUUAUAAUUUUACUUUCCUUAAAUUAAUAUUUAAGAAUUCUAAUUCAAAAUUUAAGAAUUUUACGUAAACUUUGUUAAUCUUUACUUAAACUUGUACAAUCAAAUUUAUAAUAUCUUUUUCAAUAAUGAUAUGAACUUCAAAUGUUAACCAUUUGAAGUUUUUUAUUGUUUUUUUCUUUUAAUAUCAUGAGUGUUCUCUUUGCUCCUUUUCUCUCAUUUGAUUUUCUUUUUAAUUCCUGAGUUAGGUGUAUUCAAAACUCACUAUCUUAUCUAUCUUGCCUUAAAUCAUGGUUUCUCUUUAGGGUUUUAGUGAAGAAGCUAUCAUUUUUUUUUCUCUAAUGUUUUUCAGCAUUGGCUGGCAGCUUCAAGGAGAAGAAGAAGCUGAAUUUCCUAUUUUUUCAGCUUAUUUAUGAACAUACCAUUAAUGAGCCUAUAUGUUAUUUUUGAUCCGAUUAUUAAUAUUCUUGCAUGGCCUUUUAAAAUUUAUAUUAACCUAAAAUUUUAGUCCAAGAUAGAGGAAUGUUUCAAGAGGUUCCUCGUAAACUUUCAGCCCAAUCUAACGAAUGAAUUGAAAGUUAUGCUUGAUAUUAUAAAAUUAAUUAGUAAGUGAUUUUACAUCAAAAUCCAAUUUUUCCUCAAUUAUUGCUAGAACCAUAUCAAUUGUUUUAAUAAGUUCUCAGAGCCAUUUUUUUAUUUUAAAACAUAUUUAUUUUUUCUUUUCAUCAUUUAUUUCAUUUACAUACUUGCUACAGUUUCACGGUAAUGUUACUGAUUUUUAACCGAGACUUACACCAACACUUUUUCGCAUAGUUCUUUCUUAACUUUUAUUUUUCAUUUCCGUUUUAAUUCCUUGAAAUUAUUUUCUAAUCAUCAAAACACAUCCAUUCAAUUUUUUUUUUUAAUUCUUCUAUCCAUCAAAACCAUUACCGGUUUUAGCAUGAUAUAUAUUUCAUUUGAAUUAUUUUUUGGCAGCGUGGGCCAGUGCCCAAAUUGCCCACAUUCUGGAUCCGUCCAUGCUUCUAAGCUUAACUAGUUGUGCAGGACCUGUUUAUGAAAUCAACCCUAGAUUCGAUAUUCAAAGUUGCAUUCGGGGUUGAGCUAGACAGCAUGUGUGGAUCAAAUGAAGAAGGUGUCAAAUUUACCAGUGCUUUUGAUGAUGCAAGUGCAUUGACCCUUUGGCGAUAUGUUGACGUGUUCUGGAAAAUCAAGAGGUUUUUGAAUAUUGGAUCGGAAGCUGCAUUGAAGAAAAACGUCAAAGUGGUUAAUGAUUUUGUGUAUAAACUAAUCAAUAAAAAAAUUGAGCUAAUGCGUAACUCAGAAGAAGUUUCUUCUGUGAGUAUCUCUCCUUGAAACUAUUAUUUCUGAUAGAUUGCAGAGGCAUGAAUUUUAGCUGAUCUUACAUGGAAAAUGCAGUUAAAGAAAGAUGACAUUUUAUCAAGGUUCCUGCAAGUGACGGAGAAUGAUCCAACAUACUUACGGGACAUAAUUCUCAAUUUUGUGAUUGCUGGAAAAGACACAACAGCAGCUGCUCUAUCAUGGUUCAUCUACAUGUUGUGCAAGCAUCCAGCUGUGCAGACAAAGGUUGCACAAGAAGUAAGAGAAGCAACUAAAGUGAAAG
rnacentral:lncRNA from 1 species